GGUAUAUUAAGCAUCAAUAUUGCUGUCUUUUCUUUGCCAAGUAAAGAUGUACCUGUCUACCUAGGCUUUUUAGGUUUUUGAACAGGUGACUUUUUUAAACCUUCACUGUGUUUAGCUGGUUGUUUUAGCUGCUUUUGUUUGUUGAUCUUUUUAUGAAUAUGUUUACUGUUUUGAUUGAUUUGGUGGUUAACAAAUAAUUUUAUGUUGUACCCCGCCCUGGUUAAGUAUUGAUGUGUGUCUGUGUCCUAUAAAUCUUUUAAAUAAAUUAAUAUUAAAUAAUAGCCUUUCCUUUCCUCUUGGGUUUUCACCCUUGAAGAGACUUAUAAAAACCUUCACUCACAAUUUCCCUCCUUCUGCCUUCCUUCAUGCUCUUUCCUGAUUUUUGCAAUCAUCAUUAUAAAUACUCCACUAUUGGAACUGUUAUUUGGUUUUCUGCCUUUCAACACGUCCCAAAUAGAACUAAAUUUGGAUUGCUGGCCCAUUCUCCAUCCAGCAAUGAUUUGCACAGUACGCCUUACUUCCAUUCUUCUUUGAGUGCUGUCACCCUCUGCUGUCAAUCAACAGUGCUGAUUGUAUUUCUAUUCUGCAUCUUGUUGUACAUUAUUUAUACACUAACCAUUGAUAUACUGUGGCCACUCUGUCGUUUCCUUCUGUUCCCUGCUGUUCUACUCUGAACAACCAUUCAUUUACCAUUGAGCCACAGAACAACAUGUAUGUUAAAUAGACCUACUCAGAGCUGAUGCAAUGUAUGUACCUCUCAGCUCCAAUGUUAUGAGCAGAGAGGAAAGCUCUGCGUAUCUUGCCAGAAAGCCUAUUCCACACAUUUUCUGUGAGACCCAGUGCUGCAGAACAGCUCAUUGCAUAGCAGUUGCUGUAGUCGGUGAUCAUCAUUCCAUCUAUUCUUUGAGAGAGAUUUUCUCACAUCUUCCUAUCUUGGCACUGUUUCUCUCCACGCCGCCUCUCCCUUCAAAGGAAUCUUUAACAGGUUCCUUCUGAACUUCAAAACCAAUCGAAGGGCACCUAGCUUGUCCCCUUUGUUCUUAGCUUUGAAGACCCCUUUGCUUGCUUCUUUGCAGCAUGAUUUACAUUCCAAAACACACACAAAAAGAGGAUUUCUCUCCUUGUUUCCUUCUCUUUCCCCAUUUGUCAACUAAAAAUAUCUAAUCGGUGGCAGCAGACUAGGGAAGGGGAAGGGCAGAGAAGACUAGGAAUUGUUUGUGUUAAAGAAAUUGUUUGCAUUAAUCUGUACAGUCAAAUAUGGAUGACAUUGGGCAAAGUGCCAGGGGUGAAAAUGUUCUUUGAAAAGGCAUGGAAAUGGCCAGCUAUUCAACAAGGAGAGCAAUCUAGGUAGUGAUCUGUAAGCAAGGGAGCACAAUUGAUCUUUGGGUGCUUUAAAAGGCCCACUGAAGAAAACAGUUGUAUAAUUUGACCCUUAGUUAGAACUAAGCAGAAAAUCUAUCUGUUGCAUCUCCCCAGAAAAAAAAUAAAUUUGGAUCCAAUUUAUUCCAACUAAAAUCCUAUGUUUCUACAAAACUGAGCUAGUUGCUCUUUCUAUAGAAAUUAUACCACAUCAGCCAGUAAUUGUUGUUGGUCUUGGCAUCCAUCUGUCCCAGGAGACAAUAGAGGAGUACGCCUUUGCGGGUGAAGUCAAACUGCUGGAAGGUUGCAGUGCCUGCUGUGGCUGUAGAGGCCAAUGCAGGAGAGACAUAUUUUGUGGCAGCUGGGGCAGAUGAAAUAGGGUAAACACUUUUUAUUGAGGGAGGCCCUGCAAUUGGGCUGGCAAGAAGUGAUACGCAGAAAAUCAACAUAUGUCACUUUCCAUGGCAUAUCAUGGGGACAACACUAAAGGGAAGUUCUCUUUCUGCAGUUCUCUUACUGCAAAGUUCUCUUUCUGCAGUUCUCUUACUGCACAUAACUUUUGCAUUCUGGGAAGUCUCGCUCAUAAUCUUUUCUCUGCUUCUGCACAAGAGUCUGAGAAUGUUCUGAACAGUUCCCAUUGAGUUCAUGAAACAGUGUAUCCUGACCUGUUCUUAAUGCAUUGCUGACCACAUCUACGGAACGUGAUUGUUGUAUUCCUUCAUGUUAUGUUCUCUCAAUAUCAAUCUUUAGUUAUAAUUUAAUUAGGAGGUUUCAUGCCUGUCUAGUUCCAGCUCCGAUUCUCAGCCUUUGAUCUAUCAGUGAUAAAUGUAAUAUGUAAUUCCCGCCUUGUACCUAUGUUAACCAAUCAGCAACAAGUUGCUUUGUGUUUGUGUCAACCAAUCAGCCACAAGCACACCUGUGGCAAUGUUUGUAAUAUUCAAUAAAAGAGAGUUCCCGGGGCUUGCCCCGGGGGAGACGCCUCUCAUAUGACACCUACCACUCGUCUGUCGUGAUUUCAACCCAACAUCUGGUGACCCCGACGUGAACACCAUGCAAGGAAUUCAGAUAUGAGCAUUCCACCAGUGCAAGCAUUUCUGCUCUCCGAUGGAACCAUCUCCCUGUGUGCUGUUCUGGGGUGUACUCUCAACUCUCCAGAAUGGAAUUAUAAGAAGUGCAGGCAGGGGGCAGGAGAGGGAGGAAACCCCACUGUACUAGGAGGAGUCCUUGUGCUGGCUUCCACUAGAACACCAGGUUAGUUUUACCCAGUACCUUCUGCUUAACUUCUGCCUAUUGUGCAGCUGUUAAAAGGAACAUAACCUCCAUCAAGGGGGUGGGCUGCAGUGUCCCACUUCUGAGAUAUCUGGGCCACUUUGGAAUCCGAAGCAACAAAGGUUUAAAGUGCUCCAAACCAAAAUGGGAUUUCAGUACAAAUUUCUAAACUAAGGCAACUUGCUUUCCAAAGCAGUGCAGCAGGUUACAAACCAUUUUUUGGAGGAAGAAGAAGAAAAAAGGCAUAGCCCUAGUAGCAAUCCUACCAGGAAUUGAAAUCUUCUUGUUUCUUCGGACAAAUUUCCUGUAAUAUGACAAUAUGGAAUUUUGAUGACUUCACAGUCAAGGGUAUUCCUACUAAAUGUAUUCCAGUCAGUGAAAGGCUGUCUGCUUGUGAGGAGAAAAGCAAAGAUGAACAGGAGAUUGCAGAGAAAAUUGGUGAUUUAUUUGCAUCAGUUUUCAUACAGAAAUAUCUACCCUGGGGCUACUCUUGAUUGUGAGAGUUCUCGGGGAGUGAAUGAAAUAAAGCAGUGCUGGAUCAACAUGAUAAAUUAAAGUGUCAUCAAUCAUCUGAAAAGGACAGUAUUCAGCUGAGAGCUGUGACUAUGGGAGUUGACAAAUGUAUAAUAGAUCACAAGGGAAGGAUGCUACAUUGGAACACUAUAAGGACAAAUGACUACGAUUUCUAAAGAUGCUUCAGGUGAUUUCAAAAGUCAGAAUCUAGCAAAGCUAUAAAUGUUAGUAGGAAAAGCAUUGACAAAAAGAGAAGGAAAAUACAUUGAUAAUGUCUGGGAAAUUAAUUAACUUUAAUGGAAACGGGCAAUAAAUUCAGGAGGUCCCAGUGUUAAAAUUUUCCCAGUGUUAAAAUUAAGCUAUAUAGGAAUUGUUCUCGAAGCUACAAACACGAGCCUGACCAAACUGUGGGAGGCAGUGGAAGACAGAAGUGCCUGGCGUGCUCUGGUCCAUGGGGUCACAAAGAGUCGGACACGACUAAACGACUAAACAACAAAAGGAAUUGUCGGUGCAGAUGUCCGUGCCAAUGUGUGGACAUCUGAGUGCAGGACCAACAGUGCACCCAAUUCCUUGGAGCAGGACCAGCAUCAGGACCUUCUUCCAUAGUAAUCAUAUGCUCUCAUGUUUUUUAAAAAUAAAAUAAAGGAGGUUUCUGUAUUUCAGUACAACUGUGAAGUGAGGAUUCUUGUACUGUACAUUGUGGUCUACUAGUUUAGAAACAGUUCCCUAGUGAUAGGAAGUUUGAAACUCAUUUCUCUGGAUUGUUUCUGGCCCUUAUUUGUUUGCUAGAAAUGUUGUCUACCCCUCCUUUCAGUAUUCCAACUCCAAGAGCAGCUAACAACCCAAAUUAAAAACAAUUAAACAUAUAUAACAAUGUUUAAAAUAUUAAAACAUGAAAGAGUGACAGUAGGCAAAAUCAAAGUAACAUUGUGUGUGUGUUUCUUUUUCUUUUCAUGGUGCCAAUAUGAAAGCACUACCAGGUGGGCCUGCCUGAGGCGAAUGUUCAACAGUCGGGGUUCUACCAAAAAAACAAACCAACCAAGAAACCAACAACCAGAGACGGGUCUUAGGUAAUUAUUUUAAUCCAGAUUUGGGCAAAGAUGUAGGUCGGGGUUCUCAGUGUGAUGCCCUCCAGAUGUAGUGUACAGUGAUAGUGUAGUGGUUGGAGUGUUGGACCAAGACCUGGGAGACCAGAGUUCAAAUCCUCACUCAGCUGUGAAGCUCACUGGAUGGUAACCUUGGACAAGUCAUAAUCUCUUGGCCUAGCCUACCUCUCAAGGUUGUUGUGAGAUUUAAAUGAGGAGCGAGAGAACCAUGUGUACCACAUGUUUUUUCCUUGAAGAAAAAGGAGAUGUAAAUGCAAUAAAUAAAUAAUGUUUGUUGGACUCCAACUCCCUUCAGCUCCAGCCAGCAAAGUCAAUGGACAGGGAUGACAACAGUUGUAGUCCCACAACAUCUGGAAGGCCAUAGGAACUAUAAUAGAUGAUCAGCCUGGGCACAAAUAUUCAUAAUCAAACCUAAUGACUGAUACUCUUUGAAAUGGUUUGCAUUGGACUUGUAAAAUUUUUCAUUCUCCCCAUGACAAUAAGUUCUUAUUCCUCCUGUUGUUCAUACAUUUUCCUCCCCUUUUGUCUUUGGCCUCAAAAUUCUUGAUGACGAUGAUUUAUUGAACAUCUGGCUGCAGCAACAAAGUGGAGUUUAAAAGUGUCACACUGGCAAGAGAAUGUGGAUAAGUAUGGUACUAGAAGGACUGUGUCUCUGAACAAACAACUCCUGGCAGAAGCCUUCAUUGAGUGCACAAGAUAAUCCCAACCAACCAUUUAAAAAACAAAACAGAACACAAAACACAAACAGUAACAGCAAAUAACCCAGCUCAGUUACAGUUAAUGGAGUUGGCUCCCUGCGGCUUAAACAGGUGUAAGUUAAAGAUACAGAACAGCAGCAGUUUCUUUCCCUCCUCCCUCCCUCCCUGAGCUAUCCUAAUAAUGGAUGAGCUGAGAAAGGAUGUGUUUGAUGAAUGACCCAGUGGAACAGCACUGAGGCCCAGUGCAAUAACACGGACCAGGUACGGAGUGAUUCCUGUCAGCUUGAGGGGGGCAGUCAGCAGGGAGAGGGGGGCACACUGAUCAGGAAAAGAAGAAUGAGCAAAACUAAACCAAAUCAUCAUACUUAAACUCUUUAAUGAGUUGCUUUGGGAAGAAAACCCUCUAAACUUUGGAAGAAAACAUACGGGAUAAGAACCCAGGAAGCCCAACAAGGAUUUCAGCCCCAAAGGUGAAUACUAUUUGGCAAGGGCAGUUGCCCCACCGUGCCUCCCUUUCCCUAGUUUUUCUUUUCCUGCUUACAGAUUCAGCUGAAGAAUUAGUUAGAAACCUGAAUAGAAAUAAAUGAGUCAUGUGAUUUUCUUUACAGUGUGGAGAAAACCGUAUACGUUGCUCCAAAACAGCUCCUGUUACUCUUCCUGCCCUGCUGUAACCCACCCACAAUGCAGCCUAGCUAAAAUUACCAGCCUAAAAUUACGCUAAUGGAUGUGAAUUCGUUGACACUUGUCCCUUUGCCAUGAGCGCUCUCCUCCUGGUGCCGCCGUUGCUGGUGGCAGUUGCUACUCGCUGUGACACGCCUCUUUCUGGCGUGCAAUUUAGUCUCCUGUCAGUUGAGCAGGAAAAGCUGAGACAAAACUGCAAGAAACAUGGGAGGUGAUUGUGAAUGGUGGGGGAGAGGAAGUGAAGGUGCAUCAGAAAUUACCCUGAUCUUAUGACUCAGAAUAAAUCAACACAAGACUGCCAAGUCUUGAAAUCAAAAACUCUGGUAAUGGGGUGUGGUCCACAGAGGAAGUACAGGUCAGGGCAGAACCCAGGAAACAAGAAGGGUCUUCCCCAAAGAAGUAUGGGGGGGGGGGGGAAUCACUGGCUACAAAAAAAUAAAACUGGCCUUGCCCCUGAACCUAAAGCAAAAAACCCACAAACCCACAUACAAACAUGGAGUUGAUUAUGCCAACUCUACACAGAUGUUGAAAAAUCUUAAUUCUCACUCUUCUCUCUUCAUCUGAGACCUUUGCUUAUGACAUACUAAAGCUACUGUGAUCAGAUCAAUAUUGCCAUGAUGACUUGUAAUUUUAAGAGGCCACAUUCGUCUCGGCCUCCAUAAUCACAUGGCCACUGCCACUUGGAUACAUCAAAGGGUUUUCUGAAAAAUCUGUCCCGUAUUAAUAAAUACCUCUAUGUCUCUGACUUUCUGUGAGGCCAAGUGUUACUGUUGAAAUGAUUUCAGAUGAACAGCACUGGAAGAGAGGCUAGCAGAGUUAAAUUUAUUUAUGUCCAAUUUUCUGUGUCUAAAGUAAAAUGCUUUUUUUAAAAAAAUGCCUAAACUGCAGUAGCAUAGGAAGGCGGGGGGGGGGGCGGAAUCUAUCUCCCUCAGGGGGAGUAUGGGUUGCUAUGCCGGUGCUAAACUGGUCAGCUCUGUUUUGAAAUAAAAACAGCAAAGAGCAAUUUCAUGGGCAAAAAGCAGCUGAGGGAGUUCAGCAGAUAACUGGUAUGAGGCCUCAGUCUGGAUUAGGAGCGUAUUCCAAAUUGUAGCCAAGAGGCUGCUUUUUCUUCAAAAUAAAAGUGGCCGGUUGGAGCAUGCUUUUUUUAAAAGUGUGUUUAUCAUAACAUGUAGUUUGGCCUGAAGAUUACAGUCCUAGGAACACUAGUUUAGGGGGUGCAGGACAGGCCACACGGCCCAGUUAGUGGGCUCAGGAAAAACAGUUUGCAGGGAGCUGCUGCAGCUCCUCAACAUUUCUACCUUAGGCAGUAGCCUCAGUCUGACCAGCCCUGCCAUUGGACAUUAUGAGCUUUACAUCAGAGUAAACAUGUGUGGGAUUUGACUGCAGUUCAGUAUUAUUUACACAUUGCUUGGUUGAAAUCAUUUUAAUCUUCUUCAUAAAUUACGUUAGUCUGAGUUUAUUUGUAUCUAGAGGGAAAUUAUCCCUCACAUAGCCCCAACUAAUGCAGAGAUUAAAGUCACUAGAUGCAUAGCUGAUUCUGGCACAGAGCCAUUGAAAAUAGAGGAAGGGGAAGUUACUUCUUAAGGUUAUGGGACCUGAAGUUCCCAGCAAGUUUAGGAAAGCCCAACCAAAGUAAUGUGAGAUUUAAACUCAACAGGCUAUAUGUAUAUAUACAUUGGCUUUAUUAAAAUAAUAACCAUAUUCCUGAGAUUUGGUUAAUAACAUUGGUUUUUAAAAGGCAAUGUAUAAAUAUUAAAAUACACUAAAAUAAUUCUGUAUUUAUUUCCACCUAUAGCAUGGGGUUGCUGGCACAACUGCUGCAAAGUCUUUAGUGUGCAUCCCAUCCACUUCAACAGAUUGAAUCAUAGAAUCAUAGAGUUGGAAGAGACCACAAGGGCCAUCGAGUCCAACCCCCUGCCAAGCAGGAAACACCAUCAGAGCACUCCUGACAUAUGGUUGUCAAGCCUCCGCUUAAAGACCUCCAAAGAAGGAGACUCCACCACACUCCUUGGCAGCAAAUUCCAUUGUCGAACAGCUCUUACUGUCAGGAAGUUCUUCCUAAUGUUUAGGUGGAAUCUUCUUUCUUGUAGUUUGGAUCUAUUGCUCUGUGUCCGCUUCUCUGGAGCAGCAGAAAACAACUUUUCUCCCUCCUCUAUGUGACAUCCUUUUAUAUAUUUGAACAUGGCUAUCAUAUCACCCCUUAACCUCCUCUUCUCCAGGCUAAACAUGCCCAGCUCCUUAGCCGUUCCUCAUAAGGCAUCGUUUCCAGGCCUUUGACCAUUUUGGUUGCCCUCCUCUGGACACAUUCCAGUUUGUCAGUGUCCUUCUUGAACUGUGGUGCCCAGAACUGGACACAGUACUCCAGGUGAGGUCUGACCAGAGCAGAAUACAGUGGCACGAUUACUUCCCUUGAUCUAGAUGCUAUACUCCUAUUGAUGCAGCCCAGAAUUGCAUUGGCUUUUUUUCUUUCUUUCUUUUUUAAGAGACUUCCAGGGUGGCGCCAUCGGCAAUGGCGGACUCUCUCUGAACUGGAGGGACUAGCUCCGCGGGAAACGGGUCUUCUCCGCUACGGCGAAGCGGGGACCCUUUUAAAAAUCACAGGCGGAUGAAGCCUGUGACCAUGGGACUCGGCGGGCACCUUUAGCGCCCCCCCCCAACUCGCAAAGGAACCCAUUAACGGGCUCCGAAGUGAAGAGGGGGAAGUGGCGCGGUGCUGUGAGUCAACUGCUAUUUCCGUGGAGCGAAGCCGCAUAGCCGUUGCCGGAGAGCGCUGCCUUUUCCUGGGACAAUUUGGACUCUAAAAUAAGCACCCGUGAGUACUUAAACUUUGAACAACUGGACCUUAAAUAAGGACUUGCGAGCAGAAAGGAAUUGGAUUUAAAAAUUUAUUUCAAUUUGGUACUGAACGGGAAGGUCUAAACAGGAAGUCAGCCUUCCAUUCUUUUGUAGACAGAAUAAAGCAAAGACAACAUAAACUAGAGCUUAGAAAAUCGCCUUUAAAGGAUUGGAUUUCAUCAUUUAAAAUUGUGGAACCCCCCUUCGACAGCAGGAGAAGAAGGGGGAUCUUUUUCGGACUGUUUAAAGUGAGUUUAAAGUAAAGUCACUUUCCACCGUCCUGAUCCUGGAGCGGGGUGUCAGGACUGACGUUUGAAGCUCAUUGACCAGAGAAAAACGUUUUUGACAGAUAGCUAAAAGAAGAGAAACAUAGUGAUUCCACUGUUUCCUUUCGCAUUUUAAAGGAACAAAUAUUGACAAAAUAUCUCAAAAAGGGAAACUUUGUUGCAAGAACAAAUAGAAGCUUUCCCCCUAGAGGGAGACUGUGAAACUGUAACCAAUUCCAGGGAGCUGGCAGCUGUUACAGAUUACAAUCGUGGGAACAGACAUUUGACCUUGCAGGACAAUGUAUUCAGAAGCUCUGUUGUGCGCUUUCUAUAAAACAAAUGCCCUACUGGAACAGUUACAUGAGAAGAUGAAUUUGAUGGCGACUUCGACUAGAAAUUUUGAACAGGCAGUGGGAAAUUUUGAACAGACAGUGGGAAAAUAUGUGGAGCCCACUCAGGAAUUAAAUCAGAGUGUGUCCUGACAGAACAGGCCCAACAGGAAUAUGAGCUUUGGAUUUGACAAAUGAACUUGGAAAAAGCCAGACUUGGAAAGAAAAAGUUUGGUUUGGCUUGGAAAUGGGGGGCUGGAUUGACCCCCCUAUGCUGGGAUGUUUGGACUUUUCAAAUCUGGCAAUGGGCCGUGAGAUGUUUGGGAUUGUGGGGGCUCUUAAUUUUGGAGGGUUUUUGAAACAUGUUUUUAAAUAUCACAUGGAAUUUAGUGUUGAAUAUGGAAAAGGGGCUGAUCUGUCGAGAAGGGUCAAAAAUAUUGUCAAGCUGGAGUUACCACGAGCAGGAGACAAGGGAAAAUACAGUUACAAAUAUGAAGAAGAGCUGCGGAAGGGACAUGGAAGAGACUUGAGGGCCUCGGAUAUAAGGUUGCCAGGUUAAUGCGCUAGAUCAAUGGGAUAAUAAGGACUGACAAAACCCGGGACCAGGAGGAAGGGACACUGGAUGAAGAUUGGAUCUGUUUGUAUUUCUUUUUUUUUACUAUUAGGACCGUUUUAUAAAAUUGAUGAAUGUUAGAAAAAUGUUGGAAUGAAAUUACUCGGCUUUAGUAAAGAUGCUUAAAGAAUUAUGAAAGAAUAUUAUGGUUAUGAGAAGUUGGUAAGGAUAAGAUUUAAGCUUUAAGUUUUAAGGGGUUUUUUUAUAUAAAAAGAUAAGAUUAAAACAGUUUAAGGUAAUGUAAUGACAGAAUAUUAUGAAAUAUGGAAAGGAUUUGCUGGGAUAAUUAAUAACUAGGAUACAAAGAAAGGGAGGAGGAGAAGGUCAAAGAAAGAAGGUAAUGACAGUUGAGGAUUUGAGAAUAAUGAAUUUGUUUUUAAAUGUUUUUAAAUGUUUGUGGUGUAUUUUUGUUUUUUUCUGUUUUUUUUCUUAUUUUGAAUUUGUAUUCGUAUUGUUGGAAGGGUUUGUUUCUCUCUUUGUUUACUUUGUUAACCAUUUUUAUUUUGUAUUUUUAUUAUUAUUAUUAUUAUUUUGUAACAUUUUGAAAAUCUCAAUAAAUAUCUUAUAAAAAAAAUAAUUGCAUUGGCUUUUUUAGCUGCCGCGUCACACUGUUGGCUCAUGUCAAGUUUGUGGUCAACCAAGACUCCUAGAUCCUUUUCACAUGUACUGCUCUCAAGCCAGGUGUCACCCAUCUUGUAUUUGUGCCUCUCAUUUUUUCUGCCCAAGUGCAAUACUUUACAUUUCUCCCUGUUAAAAUUCAUCUUGUUUGUUUUUGCCCAGUUCUCUAAUCUGUCAAGGUCGUUUUGAAGUGUGAUCCUGUCCUCUGGGGUGUUAGCCACCCCUCCCAGUUUGGUGUCAUCUGCAAAUUUGUUCAGGAUGCCCUUGAGUCCAUCAUCCAAGUCGUUGAUAAAGAUGUUGAAUAAGACCGGGCCCAAGACAGAACCCUGUGGCACCCCACUAGUCACUCUUCUCCAGGAUGAAGAGGAACCAUUGAUGAGCACCCUUUGGGUUCGGUCAGUCAGCCAGUUACAAAUCCACUGAGUGGUAGCAUAGUCAAGACCGCAUUUUACCAGCUUCUUUACAAGAAUAUCAUGGGGCACCUUGUCAAAUGCCUUGUUGAAAUCAAGGUAGGCUACAUCCACUGCGUUCCUUCAUCUACCAGGCUUGUAAUUCUGUCAAAAAACGAGAUCAGGUUAGUCUGACAUGACUUAUUUUUCAGAAAUCCAUGCUGACUAUUGGUGAUCACAGCAUUCCUUUCUAGGUGCUCACAGACUGUUUGCUUAAUGAUCUGCUCCAGAAUCUUCCCUGGUAUUGAUGUCAGACUGACUGGGCGGUAAUUAUUUGGGUCCUCUCUUUUCCCUUUUUUGAAAAUAGGGACAACAUUUGCCCUCCUCCAGUCUGCCGGAACUUCGCCUGUUCUCCAGGAAUUCUCAAAGAUGACUGCCAGUGGUUCUGAGAUUACAUCUGCCAGUUCUUUUAAUACUCUUGGAUGCAGUUCAUCUGGCCCUGGAGACUUGAAUACAUCUAAACUAGCCAAGUAUUCUUGUACUAUCUCCUUAGUUAUUCUGGGCUGUGUUUCCUCUGCUGAAUCAUUUGCUCCAAAUUCUUCAGGUCGGGCAUUGUUUUCUUUAUCGGGAAGACUGAGGCAAAGAAGGCAUUGAGGAGUUCAGCCCUUUCUGUGUCCCCUGUUUGCAUUUCACCAUCUUCUCCUCUGAGUGACCCCACUGUUUCUUUGUUCUUCCUUUUGCUACGAACAUACCCAUAAAAGCCUUUUUUGUUGCUUUUAAUAAUAAUAAUAAUAAUAAUAAAUUUUAUUUAUAUCCCGCCCUCCCCAGCCGAAGCUGGGCUCAGGGCGGCUAACAACAAUUAAAAUAAUCCAACAUUCUAAAAACAUUCAUUAUAAAAUUAAUUAAAAUCAAAUUAAAUCAAAUUGAUGGCAACCAUUAAGCAAAAUUCUGUGCAGAUUGCCAGAGGAGGGGGUCAGGCUGCGCCCUGACCAAAGGCCUGGUGGAACAGCUCUGUCUUGCAGGCCCUGCGGAAAGAUGUCAGGUCCCGCAGGGCCCUAGUCUCUUGUGACAGAGCGUUCCACCAGAUUGGAGCCGCGGCCGAGAAAGCCCUGGCUCUAGUUGAGGCCAGCCUAACCUCUCUGUGGCCUGGGAUCUUCAGGAUGUUUUUAUUUGCAGACCGUAAAUUUCUCUGUGGGACAUACCAGGAGAGGCGGUCCCGUAGGUACGAGGGUCCUAGGCCGUAUAGGGCUUUAAAGGUUAAAACCAGCACCUUAAACCUGAUCCUGUACUCCACCGGGAGCCAGUGCAGCUGGUAUAGUACCGGAUGAAUAUGAUCUCGCAGCGAAGACCCCAUAAGGAGUCUCGCCGCGGCAUUCUGCACCCGCUGGAGUUUCUGGGUCAGUCUCAAGGGCAGCCCCACGUAGAGCGAGUUACAAUAGUCAAGCCUGGAGGUCACCGUCGCGUGGAUCACAAUGGCUAGGUCAGGGCGAGAGAGAUAAGGAGCCAACUGCUUAGCUUGGCGGAGAUGAAAAAAUGCCGCCUUUGUUAUAGCUGUAAUCUGCGCCUCCAUAGAGAGGGAGGUAUCGAAGAUUACACCCAAACUCUUAACGGACGAUGCUGGCACUAAUUGCACCCCCGCAAGAGAUGGGAGUUGCCCUCUCAAUCCCAUAUCCACCCGUCCCAGCCAGAGGACCUCUGUCUUCGAAGGAUUUAACUUCAACCGGCUCCCACGUAACCAUCCAGCCACAGCUUCCAGACAUCUGGUCAGUGUGUCUGGGGCCGAGUCAGGAUGGCCAUCCAUCAACAGAUAGAGUUGGGUGUCAUCGGCAUACUGAUGGCAACCCAGCCCAAAACUCCGGACAAGCUGGGCGAGGGGCGCAUAAAGAUGUUAAACGCAUCGGGGAGAGAAUCGCACCCUGAGGCACUCCACACACCAAGGAGUGGCGCGAUGACAAUUCCCUCCCAAGCGCCACCCUCUGUCCCCGACCAGAGAGAAACGAGCGCAGCCAUUGAAGGACUGUGCCCUGGAUCCCCACGUCGGCAAGGCGGUGGUCCAGGAGUUCGUGAUCGACCAUGUCGAAGGCUGCUGACAGGUCUAGAAGAAUCAGCAGCCCCGACCCGCCUCGAUCCAGCUGCCUGCGGAGAUCAUCUGUUAGGGCGACCAGAGCCGUCUCGGUCCCAUGACCAGCGCGGAAGCCGGACUGGAAUGGAUCGAGAGCCGAUGUUUCAUCCAGAAACCUACCAAGCUGUUCAGCAACCGCUCUCUCAAUCACCUUACCCAGGAAUGGAAGAUUCGAAACCGGGCGGUAAUUGGAUAGAUCUAAGGGAUCUAAUGAUGUUUUCUUUAAGAGCGGACGCACCACUGCCUCCUUCAGUUCCCCUGGGAAUAUCCCGGUGCCAAGGGACAAAUUGAUGAUAUCACCCAGGGGGGCCCGCACCUCGUCUGGGCACGCUCUAAUCAGCCAAGAUGGGCACGGGUCAAGAGGACAGGUGGUGGGCUUUCCAGCUCGGAGGAGUCUGUCCACAUCGGCUGGGGAUAUCCGGUCAAAGUGGUCCAAUACUGGACCCGAGGACAGUCGAGGGGCCUCCAGUUCCUUUAUUGUAUCCAAAUUGGCAGGGAGGUCAUGGCGGAGCAACAGGACCUUCUCCGCAAAAAGCUCGCAAAUGCCUCACAGCUGUGUGUCAAAUUGUUAUUUAAAUUUGGCUGUCCUUCAAGGGACGUUAAAGACCUAAUUAUACUAAAUAAUUGCGCCGGGCAAGAGCUAGCAGAGGCAAUGGAGGCCGAGAAGUAGGACUUCUUAGCGACCUUCACUGCCAUCUCGUAGGUUUUCAUAAAAACCCUAUAAGAUGUUCUUGAGGCUCCGUCACGGGCACCCCGCCAUACUCGCUCUAGCCGUCUGAGGUCCCGCUUCAUUUUCCGAAGCUCCUCGGUAAACCAGGGAGCCCGGUUUCUGCGGGGUCGCAGAGGGCGCCUAGGUGCGAUCUCAUCGAUGGCUGCUAGGAGCUGGAUAUUCCAGCCCUCAACAAGCUCAGUCAAUGAGUCGCCAGGGAAGCAAGGUCCCGCAAGGCCUGACGGAAUCUAUCAGGGUCCAUCAGCCUCUGCGGGCGAGCCCAAAUUGGCUCGCCACCUAAGCAGGGUGGGGGUGGAAAAUCAAUCCUGGCUUUCAGAGCGUAGUGAUCAGACCAUGGCACCUUCAUCGAAGGAGACAUGAUCACAUCUAUACCGGCGCCAAAGAUCAAAUCCAGCGUGUGGCCUGCUUGAUGUGUGGGGCCCGAAACAAACUGGGAGAGCCCUAGUGUCGCCAUGGAAGACACCAGGUCCAGAGCCUGUGAGGAGGGAGUGGCAUCAGCAUGGAUGUUGAAGUCCCCCAAUACCAAUAGGUUAGGGAACUCCAAGGCCCAGCCGGCCACCGCCUCCAGCAGGCCUGACAGGGUGGCUGCUGGUGCGCUAGGUGGCCGGUACACCAGCCAGACAGCCAAGCUCACCUCGGAGCCCCACACUAGGCCAACACAUUCAAUGCCGGGGAUCGAUGGCGAUGGUAGAGCCCUGAAAGAACAAUCUUCCCGGAUUAAUAAUGCCACCCCUCCCCCCCGGCCCACAGUCCGCGACUGGUGGAGGACGGAGAAACCCGGGGGUGCCAUCUCUCGUAGGUUAACAGUUUCUCCUUCGCGCACCCAGGUCUCUGUCACACAAGCCAGGUCAACCCCCUGCGAGGUGAAGAAGUCUCGCAGGGUGGCGGUUUUGUUGCCUAUAGACCUGGCAUUGCACAACACCAGUGACGGAGGUGAGUAAUCCUUGCUCACCUUACCCUCGUCCCUCGGGAUGGGGCGCAGAUUGGAAGGGGUACGAGCAUAUCCGUAUCUCGAUCCCCUUCGCCUAUGACAUCUGCCCCCACCGCCAUACCUCCCUCGCCCCACUACGGUAGCAAUCCCAAGCCUCAAACCAACCUCCAUUUACAAAAUAGAAAAACAAAUCAAACCAAAAACAAUUGUACCAAAACAAAACAAAUCCCCACCCCACUCACUAUCCAACCCCAAACCAACAUAAAGCGGAACAAAAUAAAAAUACAUCAAUACAAACCACCGUUCACGGUGGUACAACAAAGUAAAAAGUAAAAACCCCUUUAAAACCCUUUAAAAUAUAUAAAAACAUUUUUAACAUUUGCUGCAGCAACACCAGUGUCCUUAAAACUGUAGCAGUGGCGAGUGUGGGCCCCGUCCCCCAGGCCUGGUGGAGUGGGCCUACAGGAGGGAGCGGCCUCCCUCAACCCCCAUGGUGCAGCAGCAGCAGCAGCGGUGUCCCAGUGCCUCAUGAGGCCUCUUAAGCUGUGGCGGUGGUGAGUCAGUCUGGGCCCCGCCCCCUGGGCCAGGUGGAAUCAGCCUGAGAAGGGAGCGGCCUUCCCCAACUCACAGUGCAGCAGCAGCAGCGGUGUCCCAGUGCCUCAUGAGGCCUCUUAAGCUGUGGCGGUGGUGAGUCAGUCUGGGCCCCGCCCCCUGGGCCAGGUGGAAUCAGCCUGAGAAGGGAGCGGCCUUCCCCAACUCACAGUGCAGCAGCAGCAGCGGUGUCCCAGUGCCUCAUGAGGCCUCUUAAGCUGUGGCGGUGGUGAGUCAGAUUUAACCUCUCUAGUAAGCCUGAGUUCAUUCUGUGCUUUAGCUUUUCUGACUUUGUGUCUACACGUGCUGGCUAUUUGUUUGAAUUCCUCUUUGGUGGUUUCCCCCCUUUUCCAUUUUUUGUACACAUCCUUUUUUAAUCUUAAUUCAGUUAAAAGUUCUUUAGAUAGCCACCCUGGCUUCUUUAGGCACCUUCCAUGUUUCCGUCUCAUUGGUAUUGCCUGAAGUUGUGCUUUUACUAUCUCCCUCUUAACAAACUCCCAGCCAUCAUGAACUCCCUUUCCUUUUAGUAUUACUGUCCAUGGGAUCUCACCCAGCACUUCCCUAAGUUUUAUGAAGUCAGCUUUCUUAAAGUCAAGAAAUUGAGUCCUAGUAUGCUUGGCUGCUCCUUUCCGCUGUAUAGUAAACUUCAGAAGAGCAUGAUCACUCGCGCCUAAUGAUCCUUCCACUUCUACCCCACUAACCAGGUCAUCAACAUUGGUUGUUCCUCUUGUUGCUUCUCCCACUUUCUGGACAAUGAAGUUGUCUGCAAGGCCAGUGAGGAAUCUGUUUGACCUUAUGCUCUUGGCUGAGUUUGACAUCCAACAAAUAUCCGGGUAAUUGAAGUCCCCCAUUAUUACUAUCUCCCUUCCUUUUGCAUGCUUGGCCAUCUGUUCCAGGAAGGCAUCAUCUAUGGCCUCUGUUUGGCUUGGGGAUCUAUAGUAAACUCCCACAAUGAGGUAACUGUUAUUAUUCUCUCCCUUAAUUUUGACCCAAAUGCACUCACUUUGGCUUUGAGGUUCUAAAUCUUGCAUCUCUUCACAGGUAUACACAUCCCUGACAUAUAACGCCACUCCUCCUCCUUUCUUGUCUGGUCUGUUUCUCUGAAAUAGAUUGUAUCCCUCCAUUAUUACAUUCCAAUCAUGGGACUUAUCCCACCAGGUUUCAGUGAUGCCUAUUAUGUCAUAUUUAGUUUGCUGUACCAAGAGCUCAAGCUCAUCUUGUUUAUUUCCCAUGCUUUGCGCAUUAGUGUACAGACACUGAAGUCCAUUAAUCAUUCCCCCGUGACUCUUAUUUAAGGAUUUUUUCCUCUCACCACUAGGUCUGCGUGCUGUUUGCUCCAUUUGGUCUAUGACAUUUGGAUGAUCAUCUUCAUCAAUUGAUAGACUCCUACCUUCAGGAGCACUGUCUCCCUCCCCCACAUUAGUCAGUUUAAAGCCCUCCUGAUGAGGUUUCUGAGAUUUUUGGCAAAAACAUUCCUCCCAACCGAUUGGCCAUCUUUAACGUCAUUAGUUGUGUAACAAAUACCAAUCUGUUCCUUUUUGGUCUAGUUCUUGCUAACAUAGCACUCUUUCUCCUAGCUCUCCUGGCUCACAAUGGCUGGAAUUGGUUCUAUGUUAAUUCUAGCACCGUACAAAUGUUGCAUUGUACACAUGUUCACACACAACAUAAAACUAUAUUCACAUUCAAAGAAUGCACAUGUGGGAGAACCUGAAUAUAUUUGGAGUGAUGCUGUUACUUUCACUGUGUGUGCACAUAAGGUUGUGUCAGCUGCUGAAUGUGUGGUAGCAUCUUGCAAACCAUAAAGCAGCUUUCCCCAGCCUGGUGCCUCCAGAUGCUUUCAUCUACAAACUCCAAUCAGCCCCAGCCAACAUGAUAGCACAGUUAAGGGAUUACGUGAAUUGUAGUUAAAACUAUUUGUAUAAUCAGCAUAUGUUGAUCGGCUACCAGGUGUGUCACUACUUAUGCAUUAUGCAUCACCAAAAAAAGAAGACAAACAAGACACUUGAUUUAUAUAAAAAUUGUAUAUGCUGAUUUAGAAUAGAGAAAUGUUUAGUAUAGUUUAAUAGAAAAAUAUGCCUGUUGUUUUUGUCCAUGGAGUUUUCUUGGCAGUGGCUUGCCAGUUCCUGCUCAUGAGUUUGACCAAAUUGCGAGAGUGCCUGGUGUGCUCUGGCCCAUGGGGUCAUGAAGAGUCGGACACGACUAAACGACUAAACAACAACAACAACUAGAAAAAUAACACAUCUCACCACCAUGGGGGUAACCAAGGGGGGGCGGAGGCAGCUGCCCCUCCAUCAGGUAAAUAAAAACACCUAACUGAACAAUGACAUGACAGAUAGCUCAGUUCUGCCCACCCAAACAUAAAGUCUGCACCCCUAACAAUCCUGCCUACGCCCAUGCUCACCACUUUGCCUGUCAUGAACUCUGCAGCAUUAUUGGGAUCAAACUUAGGUUGGUGGGCUCCAUCCCAGGAGGAGAAGAAAGGAAAACAGAGGAGGCCAGUUGUUGGGAAAUGAGGUCAGAGGAGGCGAGUUGUCCCCAUUGUGCCUCAACUUCAGUUGCUUCGGAAAGGGGCGUAAGGAUGCCAACUCUGACCUCUCAGCAGAGUGGAGAGCCUCGGUGGAGGCUAGGGAAAGCUGCAGGCUGCCAGGCGGAGAGGCACUCAGGAGGCGGUAGCAUGGGCAUAGCUAGGAUUUUUGUUGGGGGGGCAGGCCUUUUGUGGGUGGGGGCAGAACCAAAGUUAGCUGUGUAUUUUUAUUUAUUGGAGGGGGGAGCUGCCCCUCCCUGCCUCCCCCUUAGCUAUGCCCAUGAGCAGCAGCAACUGAUCAGAAGCCUGAACAAGAGGGUGUGGCAUUGUCACCUAUAACUAAGCACAACCUCGCAGAUGGGCAUUCUUGCAAGAUGAGAAAGUCGCAUGAAUGAGUGUGUCAUGCCUGAGCUUAAAAGCUUGCCAGGAGGGGUGUGGAAGCUAUUGCUUUGUUAUUUCUAUCCAGUUCUGAACAUUUUCCCUGACUCCUAACCUUCAGGUAGAUUAGUGAUACAAUUAUUUGUUAUACAUCAAGCCAGUAUUUAUUGUGUCUUAAGAAAUUGCGUAAUACAAUGGGCCCGGAAAUCCGGUAGCUGGCAUAAUGCAUUUCAGAACUAUUAGAGUUGCCAUCUUUCAGAAAGUAAAAUUCCUGACACCAGCAAAGUUGUUAUUUUUAGGAAACCACCAAAAUUGUUGAGCUUCUUUGGGGAAAUCUAACCCAAAAAUACCGGUAGUUAUUUUAAACUUUCAGAGCUGUUUCCAUACAUCCGGGUUUUCAGCAAAAAUCCCCUGAUGCCAUUUUUGCACCCCAAAACCAGGACAUGUCAGGAAUUUUCCUGACAUAUGGCAAGCCUAGAACUAGCCUAACACUCCACAGAAGUCUUUUUUUUCUACCAGGCUUGGCUUCUUCUAGUACAAAUGUAUGAGCAAUGAGCUUUUUAGAAGAGUCCCUGUGAAAUCCCACCUUCCAAGGCAAAUCAUCAGUGAGAUCACUAAUUUCUUUCUGGAACUGGAAGGAAACUACUUCUUUAAUAACCCUUCAGCUAUUAUUUGCAUCUGCUGUUCCUAGAUAGAAAAGACCUAAUUGAUUAACCUUCCUCUCAACUAUAAGCAGCGCUUUUUUCUAGGGGUACGAAGGGGUACACAUACCUCUAAACGUUUUGUGAAUCUUUGUACUUUUGUACAUUUACUGUAUUUAUUUUCCCCGAUUUUAACUAUUAAAUGGUGAUUUUCUUGAGUCAAAAUGAGAGUACCCCUAAACAAUUUUUAGAAAAAAAGCACUGACUAUGAGUAUUAAACAUAAAUAAAUGCCUCUAUGAUUACAAAGGAGAGGGAAUUAACUCUGCACUACGAUUGUUUUCCUGAGUUGUUUAAACGUAGGAAAAACUUCCAGAAGGAUAGUCAUGUUAGUCUGUUGCAGAAGAAGCUAGAAGCCAGGUAUUACAUUACUUUUUUCUUACAUAUGGGGAGAUAUUCCUAAUAAAUUUGGUGCUUAGAUUAACUUUUACCACCCACCAUUCUACAUACAGUGGUACCUCAGGUUAAGUACUUAAUUCGUUCCAGAGGUUCGUACUUAACCUGAAACUGUUCUUAACCUGAAGCACCACUUUAGCUAAUGGGGCCUCCUGCCGCCACCACGCCACCGGAGCACAUUUCUGUUCUCAUCCUGAAGCAAAGUUCUUAACCUGAAGCACUAUUUCUGGGUUAGCGGAGUCUGUAACCUGAAGCGUAGGUAACCUGAAGCGUAUGUAACCCGAGGUACCACUGUAUUAGCUAACUGAACUCUUAAGCCUAGAUUCCAAGGCAACUUGUUUCACAUGAUUCAAUCUGGAGAGGUAGUCUAGGUGUUUGAACUGGCUCAGUUUCUAACGUGAUACAAAUAAUUCUUAGUUUCAUAGUUUUUUCCUAAACAAGCCAGGUUCCAUUGCUGUGUGAAAACAGACCUGGAAAUAAAAUACUAGAUCAUCAACAUGCUUUCCUUGGGGAACUAUUCACACAAUACCUUGGUUUGAACUAAUUAGUUAGUUAACAAGCCAUUGCUUUCAAGCAGGAAACAUUUGAGCAAAUAUUUUAUAAGUCUCCUAGGGCCUUUGGCGCAGGCCAAAUGCUCUGCAGGUGGAAGAACCCUUUUUAAGCCUCUGAUCUUCAGCCUCACUCUUGCCUUGUUUUUAGACAGUAAAGUGAUACUCAUUAAGAACUUGGCAGAACCAAAGACAAAGAGCAUGGAUCAACUUGCAUACUGCAAGAUGUGACAGAUUUGAACCUACAGGGGCCAGACCCAAGCCAUGCAUAGCUUGUAAACAGAUUAUAAUCUGACCAGGUCAAUAAUUUUAGGCCCUUCAGGAUUUGAGGCUGUUACUACUUUGAGAUGUGGGAAGCUCCAUCACGUUUGUCAGUUUGCCUCUGAUGGGACCAAGAGAGCGGUAAUACCAGGUCUGGUUUUCGUUAUCACUACUACUGCAUGGUUACUAUAGCAACGUACUAGGCCGCACUGCAGAGUUUGCUUCAUUAUGGUAUGGUCUGCAUAUGAUUGCCUGUGUCUGUGAGGAACAGAGACACAAAUCCAAAUUUAAAGUGGGAAUAUGGGGUUCCUUUCCUGCCCUCUGCUUUUCAUUCUGGAUUAGCUUCCAAAUGUACAGAAACCAGAACUCUACCUAGCGAUCUCAUGAGUCUCUAUUUUUACUUGGGAAUUCAGAGAACAGAGGUACAUUUUUAUUCCUUAAGAAAAUAUAAUUCAUACCCAAGAAUCCUGUGAACUCAGGCCAGCAACCAGUGCUGAAUAUUUGAAAUUCAGACCCACAGAGGAGAUCCUGAGAGACUCUCACAGUUUGCUAUAGCUACAAACCUUUGAAAUAAAAAGUGCCUGUGCUAAUGCCCAUAUGAACACGUUGAGGGGGGAAAGCAAUUCCUUCCUUUGUUGAGUCUCAGAAAUGGACAUGUUGAUUAAGGCAGAAGACCUAUGUGCUUCCUUGGGAGUAAGCGCCAUUGAAUUUAAUGGGAUUUAAUGCUAUGCUACAUAUACUGGUUCAGGCUGCAUGUUUGCAAUCCUAAAUAAGUUUACUACUUCGUAAUCCCACUGAGCUCAGUAGAAUCUACUUCUAAGUAAACAUACAUAGGAUUAUGUAGCACAAUAGCCCCAGAAAAUGAGAUUAUUAGUGCUACUAUCAUUCAGAUAAAAUCUGACAGAAACUGGCUCACACUUUAGAAACUAAAGUCUAAACUUUAGUAUCAGAUUUUUAAUAUAAAAGUAUGCCUUAGCCAAUUGUACUCAGAAAUGGAAAAACAACAUUGUGAAAGGAAAUAGAUGCUGAGACAGGUCAAACUUCUUCAAGUGCUUUAUUACAUCUACUCCAAACAAAGUUUUCCCCUCCUAUUGACAUCAUGUAGCUCGACAGGUUAGUUUUUCCUAUUACAUAAAUUUCUUUCCCUCAAGAAGAUGGGUUUGCAGAACAAUAAUAAGGAAGGCCUGGGGAAGUGCAAAGUUGGGAAUCCUCUGCAGCAUCUGAAGACUUUCUGGCUUCUGCAAGCCAGGCUGAAAGAAGUGUUGGUGGGGUUUUUCUUUCUUUUUCUGCUACACCAGCUGCACUCUCCAAGCUAUCAUGGGCAUGGAUCUCUCAGGUGGUUCAUGGGAUUUAGGAGCCAGUCGAUCACAAGUCUCCAGUGCCCUGCCACCUCCACCUUCCAAAAUGGCUUGUUUCAGGAACUUUUUGCUCCCUACUGUAGGCAGGAGGACCACUGGAGGUAGUUUAUUGCCCACUUGAGUGGAGCUGGUACCUCCAUUGUACCCAUCCUACCCCAAGCCAUCACUUGUGGAUGUGUGUGUUAGUAUCACAGCCCUUUAAAGGUAUACUGUCCAGAUCAAAGGAAAUAAUAGUACCUCUCUAUUCAGCCUUGGUCAGAUCACACCUGGAAUACUGUGUCCAAUUCUGGGCCCCACAAUUCAAGAAGGAUGUUGACAAGUUGGAACGUGUGCAGAGGAGGGCAACCAAGAUGAUCAAGGGCCUGGAAACUAAGCCUUAUGAGGAAUGGUUUAGGACAGGGGUAGGCAACCUAAGGCCCGUGGGCCAGAUGCGGCCCAGUCUGGUUUAGGAGCUGGGUAUAUUUAGCCUGGAUAAAAUAGGUCUGAGAGGAGAUUAGUCUGGAAAGGUCUGAGAGGAGAUAUGAUAGCCAUCUUCAAACAUCUUAAGGACUGUCACAUGGAAGAGGAAAGGAGGCUGCUGCACCUUUAAGAAGAAAUUUCAAUAACUGUAGUUUGCAUAAGAAGUUGAAGUUCUCUGUUCUACAUAGCUAUUAAAAAGUGCAGGAACCCAGUGCUUCUUUUCUUCUGGCCACACCAACUGGAGGCUGUCACAUCCACACUAUACAUUAAAUGCACAUAGCUUCCCCAAAAGAAACAUGGAAACUGUAGUUUGUUAAAGGUGCUGGAAAUUGUAGCUCUGUGAGGAGUAAACUACAGUUCCGAUUAUUCUUUGGGGGAAGUCAUGGGCUUUAAAUGUAUGAUGUGGAAAGGAAACUAUUUGUUGUUAACAUGCAACAGUUCCUGCAUUGUUUCAUAAUUCUAAAAAAAAGGUAAAGGACCCCUGACAGUUAAGUCCAGUCGCAAACGACUCUGGGGUUGUGGCGCUCAUCUCGCUCUAUAGGCCGAGGGAGCCGGCGUUUUGUACAGCAGCUAUCGGGACACGAUUAAUACAUCUGGAUAAGGUGGGUUAUGAUUUGCAGUUAUGUAGCUAGAGGGAAGUUACCAUAUCAUCAAUGCCUGAGAAAAACAACUCAUGACUUUGGGCAAACUAUAAAAAAUUGUCAAGACCAAUUCUGUAGACUUGGACGUAGAAAGGGAUGCUAAUAAUAAAACUGUCACCUUCUGUAUCUGCCUCACAACCACCGUUCUGAUAAUGACAUCUCUAUCAGAGUGUUUCCAGAUGACCCAAUAGCUUCCAGAGUACUUUUGGUAUCUCUUCGGUUAAUAUUAAGCCUGAGUCUCUUAUCAUUUCCUCAAAGUAAAGUUAUUGAUCCAAUAAACAACCCCCUCUAGCAAGAGAGGAAAGCUGCUUGUGAGACUCACAGCUUGCCUUUUAAGUUCUGUAUCGAUCAACAAACAAAGUGUUUCACCUGGUAGCUGGGCAUGAAUGAGGAAUUAAUCUUAUAUUCUGUUCCUUUCUGAAGGCAACUAGUUACUGCUUAUGAAACUGCAUCGUUCUUGAAUGCCUAUUUUCCCACAAAUAAACUAGGUAGAAGAGUUAUUGGGGAAUUGUGCAUGGUCUGGACCCUACAGCUACUCCUCUUUUUUGUUGUCUGUGUCAUUAGACAGUGAUAACAGCAGCAAGAUAGAGUGGGGCUGAAGAAUCAGCUACUUCUGUGCAUUUGUUUCCCUAACUACCAGCUCCAGUUUCAUCCAUUUCCUUAAAAUGAGGACCAAAUAACCUUACAGUGGUCACAUUCCUUGCUGGGCAUGUGCCUACUACAACAAGUGGGAGACGGGAAGUGGGGGGCAAUUAGAAGCCACGGCUGCCUCAUGCCCCGAUUUAGCAGCGCUGGGAGAACUUCCAUUUUGCAACAUGGCACUCCUACUCUUUCCUAUUGCAAAGCACUAGCCAAAACCAGAUUUGCUUAGCUUUCAAGCUAGAACUAUAUUAGGUUGUUCUGCUGAAGACAAUAAACUCUUUGUUGAAUCCAUUCAAUGUAGUAAGGAAAUACUCACAGGGUAUUUCUCCCAAAAGUUUUUCAUGGGACAAAAAUAAUGGGUUGUACUCAACAAGUUUCUAUUCAGAGUAGACCAAACUGAAUUAAUGAACCUAAGUUAGUCAUGUCCAUUAGCUUCAAUGGGUCUACUACUCUGAGUGGACUAGCAUUGAAUACAAUCCUAUGACAUGUAUACCUGUCAAACAGUUUUCUAAACAAGCUGGAUUUUUCUUGUUCUUCUUCCUACAAGGACUAUUUGGUAAGCACUGUCAUUCCAAUGGAAGGUUGUGUCUCAAAUAGAUACAAAGCAAACCAAAGAUAAUUAAGAUAUGAUCUCUAUUUCUACAUGAAUUCUCUUUGGGAGCGUUCUCUGACAUUUAGCGAAAGGCAAACCCCAUUGGCUUUGGUGCAGAAGUAAUCCAGAUUUGUCAGAUUAUUUUUCUGAAUGUCUGCUGAACAUCUGAAAAUACUGCAGUAGAUCCAGAUUAUUUCUAGGCCAAAGACAAUGAGAUCUGCUGCACUGAUAUGAGAUAAUAGCAUCAUUGGCCCACAUCAGCACACCCCAGAUCUUCUCUAGACCUAAUGUGCUGAGGAGGGGGUUUACGGGUCUGUCCUUCCCCAUCACAAGCCAUUUCUUCCCAACAUUUUCCAUCUGGAGUUUUCAAUACACAUAGUGGCAAAAUCCAUAAUUUGCUACCCUAACUAGAAUUGUUUGUUUAAAUGUAGGCUAGAAGCCUGCUCAAAAUCAAGGGAAAAUAAAUUAUGAGAGAAGGGACUAAAAAUAAGCAGUUUACCAAAUAGUCAAAAGAGUUUAUGUAGGUCCCCUCAGGACAGGUUCACCAGCAAGAGUAUUUUGUGCCAGACACUCAUAUCUAUCUUUGUUUAUAGCUCAUAAACAUGCUCAGGAGCAUUUUGACCCUGAUGGUCAGUUAAGGGGGAAUGCCUUUACUUAGCUUCCUAUCGUGCUUUGCAGUUUUAUAGUGCAAGCAUUUCAACCAGAUUGAACUAGUGCAACCUUGAUGAAGAAGACAGGACUGAGCCUCAGGCCAGAACACUGGAACACAUUCCAGCAAAAUACAUGUUCAUCAAUCUAUGCUCAAGAAUCAUCCAGCACUUGUAAUAUUUAACUUUCAGGGAACGUCUUAUUGAUUUUAUCAGGCUGGAUUUACACAUGAUACUAAUGCUUGGGAGAAAUGCAACUUAACAGAAGUCACUCUCUUUUCUUGUUUUGAAGUUAUCCUACCAUCUUCUCCCUCAGGUAGUACAUUAUCUGCACAAAUCAAUACAACUCACAACACGUCUUUUAGAAUUCCCCAGCCCCUGAAAGUUCCAACUAGUUUUUUUUAGUGUCAGAAACACUAAGGGGUAAUUGCUGUGGGAUGGGGAUGCUAGUGCAAAAAGCUGAGGGCAGGGGAGUCUUCUGUACAUACACUGUACAGUACUUGCAAAAUCAUCUUCUUGAAAUCUAAUAAUACGUUGAUUUUCGAUACAUCGUGGGACUUCAGAAAAAAAUUAUAGACUAGCUUUCUACUUAGAGCAAUUCGUCUCUCCUACGCUAUUUUUUCUAGAAACUAACUUAACACCUCCAGAUACUGUCUCUCUCUUCACAAUGUCUUCAUUCCUGAUUUCUCUUUUUUCACUCUGUUCUGCCGCCGUCGCCGCCCCCCUCCCUGAUUCCAAAGAUAAUGUGCUGUUAUGGUUGUGCACUGCACCCAAAUUUCCGCUUUCAGACUUCUGCUUCUGCUCUUUAAAGUAUGUGGAGUCCUCUUUGUAAAUACUUAAGGGCCAGUAUUAACCAGUGGCAGCCCAAGACAGAUUGUUACCUGAGACAGAGCCCAGAUGUGACAAACACACAUCCCAUGUCAGGGCUAAAAGCCUGGGUGCACCAUUCCAACCCCAGUUAGAGGCACUGUACUGUAGAAUUGGAGGGGAUCCUAAGGGUCAUCUAGUCCACCCCCCUGCAAUGUAGGAAUCUUUUGCCCAAUGUGGGGCUUGAACCCAUGACCCUGAAAUAAAGAGUCUCAUGCUGACUGAGCUAUCCCUGCCUUCAUCCAUUAUGGCACAGUCUCAUGGGGCCUGAAUCAGGUUACUUCACCCAUUUGCCUUGCAGGUUCAGUCCUGAUAUUCAUUCACAAUUUGACUUUUUUUUAACGCAUAUUAACAAAAAUGGGAUCUUUCUGUUUUUAAAGUAUUUUUAUGUUAAAUUUUCAGAUUAUACAUUUCAAAAUAAACAUAUUUCAUUAUAGCCAUACAUUCAGUGACUUCCCUCCUUCCCCUUCCAAGGGUCUUUUAAUUUACCCACCAUUCCUGCAUAUUUUGUAUAUCCGUCUAAUUCAGUUCUCCAAUCUUACAUCCCUUUGCAAUAUAUUAUACUGUUGAAUUUACCUUAAUACUGGGAACAUUUUCAACUGUCUACAAUUAUUUUGUACACUCAGCAAAAGAAAUCCACUCCUCUUUAAAUACUUGCUCUUCUUGCGCUCUUAUUUUACUUGUUAGACCUGCUAACUCUGUAUAUUCUGUCUUAAGUUACCAAUCCUCCUUCCUAGGAACCUCCCUCACCUUCCAUUUUUUGGCUAACAAGAUCCGAGCCAAUGUUGUUGCAUACAUAAUUAAGUUUUUUUGAGACCUGGGUAUCUCUGUCUGCACCAUUCCUAACAAGAAUGCUUCUUUUUGGAGGGGAAUGAUUUAAAUUUUUUUUUAUCUCAUUAUAUGUCAUUUCCCAAUAUUCUUUAACUAUUUUGCAUGCCCACCACAUAUGAAAAAAGGUUCCUUCCACUUUUUUACAUUUCCAACACAAAUCCGAUUUCGAUUUAUACAUUUUAACUAAUCUACUCAGGGUUAGAUACCAUCUAUGAAUAAUUUUCAUGUAGUUCUCUUUCAAUGUGUAGCAUACUGUGAAUUUCAGGUCUUUCUUCCAAAGAUUCUCCCAGAGCUUUAGUUCUAUAUUAUAUCCUAUGUCAGUUGCCCAGUUGGUCAUUGAAGCUUUAACCAGCUUGUCUUUUGUUUCCCAUUCCAAUAAAAGUUUGUACAUUUUAGACAAUAGUUUUUCCUUAUUCUGCAAUAACUCUCUUUCAAAUUGUGAACUUUGGUCUAAGAAACCAUUUUUCUCAUCUAGUUUAAACAUGUCAUAAGGUUGAUAAUACUGUAACCACUCAGUAACUUGUUUCCUUAGUUCGCCCAUAGGUUUCAAUCUGCGUUUACUCCCUGAGAAGUCUAGCAAGUUUCUAUAGGUCACCCACUGUCUAUCCAUGUUGAUUCUCUUGAUUGUAAUUGCUUCAGUUGGCGAUAACCAUAGGGGUGUUUUUCUUUCCAGCAAGUUUUUAUAUUUCUCCCAGACUCUGCACAAAUUCCUCCUAAUAACAUGGUUCAUAAAAUUCUUAUAGGUUUUAGCUUUCCCAUACCAAAGUCAUGCAUGCCAACCAAAUUUAAUAUCAUGGCCUUCCAAAUCUAAAACGUGAGCAUUUUUCAAUACAGUCCAUUCCCUUAGCCAACACAAACAAGCCACCUCAUAAUAUAAUUGAAGGUCUGGCAGGGCAAAGUCCCCUCUUUCUUCAGUAUUUAUCAAAAUGUUCUCAGCAUCUAAGAAAAUUAAAGCUGUUUGUUUUUUGUUUCUCACUUCCAGGUAUUCAAUCAAAUUUAUUACAUUGUCUUUCAGUUGAUGACCUGGAAGAAAACCUGUUUGAUCUCUUUGUAUUAACUCACUCAAAACUCUUUUCAAUCUAUUAGCUAAAAUUGCAACAAAUAAUUUGUAAUCACAAUUAAGUAGAGAAAUUGCUCUAUAGUUCUUAGUCCUCAUUAAGUCACAGUCUUGUUUAUCAGGGUGCUAUAUGCAUUUUUCCAUGAUGCUGGGACCACUCCUGUCACCAAAAUUCUAUUCAUAGUGUCCUUGAGUAGUCAAAUCAAUGCAUCUUGAAUUUUUUUAUAAUAAAUUGCUGUAAUCCCAUCUGGGCCUGGUGCCUUAGCUGACUUCAUUCGACUUAUUGCCAGCUGCUGUUCCAACACUGAUAUGGGUGCAUUUAAAAUCCUCAUUAGAUACCUUAGGUAUAUUACACUCAUUUAAAUAAGAUUCCAUUUUCUCAGGUUAAAAAUGGGAUCUUUCUUAAUCCAGAAUCCAUUUUUUUAAAAAAUUAAUCUAUUGUAAACCUGUAUUUUUAGCUGUUUCUGUUUUAUCUGUCAGUCACCUUGAGUCCCUGUCAGGGGAAAAGGCGGGACACAAAUAAAUAUAUAAUUAUAAAUCCUUCCUAAGUUUGUAAACAUCUGAACUGGUUGUUGUUGUUGUUUAGUCGUUUAGUCGUGUCCGACUCUUCGUGACCCCAUGGACCAGAGCACGCCAGGCACUUCUGUCUUCCACUGCCUCCCCCAGCUUGGUCAAACUCAUGUUGGUAGCUUCGAGAACACUGUCCAACCAUCUCGUCCUCUGUCGUCCCCUUCUUCUUGUGCCCUCCAUCUUUCCCAACAUCAGAGUCUUUUCCAGGGAGUCUUCUCUUCUCAUGAGGUGGCCAAAGUAUUGGAGCCUCAGCUUCACGAUCUGUCCUUCCAGUGGGCACUCAGGGCUAAUUUCCUUAAGAAUGGAUGCGUUUGAUCUUCUUGCAGUCCAUGGGACUCUCAAGAGUCUCCUCCAGCACCAUAAUUCAAAAGCAUCAAUUCUUCGGCGAUCAGCCUUCUUUAUCAGCUCUCACUUCCAUACAUCACUACUGGGAAAACCAUGGCUUUAAAGUUUAAUUUCACCACUGAUAUGCUGUAGUAAUAUCUUGUUCCCAUCCAUGUUGGCAUGAUCUUGCAUAUACCUGUGAAAAACAUUUGUUAUUUUCUUGUUGUGAUGCCCUUUACUCAGGGAACAAGAGAGACACAUUGCAGAAUUCUAAACAAGUAGCAAUUUUGGCCUUCCCUAUGGGAAGAGGGGAAAGACAAGCUGCUUUAUCUACUCCUGUGCUGCUGUUUGGUUUUUAAAUUUGUUUUGUUUGAACUUUUUGUGAUUUUUUUUCUUGCCAUUUAUGAUUCUAACCCACCUUUGAAAAGUUGUUUUUUGUGGGCCAUGAUAGAAAUAAUUAAAUAAUAAUAUAUUUUUGUUACAUUGAUCACUAAUUUCUAUAACAUACCGUUUCACAGCAUAGAUUGCAGAUUCUGGUUCCCCUCCCGCACAUUCUGAAUUCCCAUCAAUGAUGUUUGCUGAAUUCAGGCUAUCUGUGUCAUAUUCUCUGGUUACCUUUUGGUGAGGUUGCCAGAAGUUCCCUAUUUUAAGGGCUGUCUCAUUAUCUAGGAAAGUAGAACAUAAAGGAGAAGAUCCUUUAUUUCUGGGGCGUAGGACUUCACAAAGCAGGCCCCCAGAGCCAAACAAUGUUUAUUUACUUUGGAUAUUUGAAAUUUGGCAGCACAGUCUUCAUCCUCAAGGAACAAGUCACAGGGUGGGAUUGGAAAAAUCUCAUUGCCCCAGAGGCUGCCUUUCACAGUGUAACAACCCCCUGUCCAAUAAAGCAAGAUGAAAGAGCACCUUUGCUGCCAGAGUGAAGUAAAGUGAAGUAAAGUGAUUAAGAGCUCAUUAGACCCCCUUCAUGCUCUUUCUACAGCUCCUCCUCUACACAAAGCACCAAGAUGAAGCUAAUGCAUCUAGACAAGCGAACAACAAGAGGUGAUGAGCCCUCCCUGCUCAGCAUAGAACUGCAGGCAGUGGUGGGUUUGGGGAGAGUCAAAGAGAUUCCACAAUUCUCUUCGGUUUUUUAAAGGUAUUGUGCAAAUGGCACUGAAAUUAGAAAGUGGUAAGUAGAACAUGGAGGGGCGGGGGGGGGGAUGAAAAGGGGUAAAUAUAUCCUAAGUCUUAGGAACAUGAGGUGAGAAAAAAUCUUAUAUAGGUGAGGAUUUGAAAGAGUCUAUUGAAAACCAAAAUAGGAUCAUUAUCACAUGGGGCGCUGUGGGUGGACAGUGUGAGCAAGCCAUUAAUUGCAAAACGAUUCACACUGCACCCCUGUGUCCUCAUUCUUGAACCAAUUUGCUUUUUCACAUAUGGCUGAGUGACUCAGGACAUGCUGAAAUGACUGUUCAUUUGCAGCAGGUUCCUUUGACACAGAUCAAUAUGGCUCUGUCUCACUACCUAUAUAGAGACAAAACCACCUGGUGAGGUUACUUAGCCCAUUGCAAGUGCUUAUUCAGGGAACUCAGCCAUGCUAGCGAACAGCAGUUAAUCUAGCACUUUUGUCCUAAAUGCAAUCCUAAAUCCCCAUUGAUUUCAAUGGUGAUUACUUCCACUAGCAAGCGACCACACUACAUGUGAUACUCAGUUGAAGGUAGUUUGCUAAUGACUCCCCCACACCUUUUACAAAGAGUGCCUUCAAAACCAGAAGAUCUGCAUGGAGGAGGGAGGAAAAUGCCAGAGGGAGAAAAGUUAAGAAGUGUCUCACGUGGGUUUUCCACUUUAUGUUUCAGCCUCCAUAGCUACAUUUUAAAGAGAAAAAUAUGUCAUGUAAAAGAGUGGAAUAUAUUGUUUCUGGCAACUUUCAAAUUACUUGUUGUGAGGGUGUUUGGUUUUUAUUUUUUUAAAAAAAUGUUUAUUGCUUUUAUCAUGGUGCUGUCUGCCAUCUUGAGCUGCUCUGGAGAGGAGGGGCAGGUUUUAAAAAAAUAAUCACCACCAUCAUACAGGCAUCGUUUGUGAUUUGGCCCUCAUUCAGAGGCAGUUUUAGGGUAGUGCAAGUGGGGCGGCCGCACUGGUUACUGCGCUGCAGGAGGCACCGCAACACUGCUGAAGAAUUGAGCAUGAGAGCCGGGGGGGGCGGGAUUUGGCGUUGCACAGGGCGCUGCUGGAAUUUGAGAGCCCACCACUGCCUCAUUGCAUUCAAAAUGGCAGCUUAAAUUGGUGCCUGGCUGGAUAAGGGCAAACAAGCUGUGUUUCUCUCAGUUUAGCAAGCCCACUUCCAUUCUGUUGCACUGAUUCUCCUAAUCUGUUUGUUUCGUUCUUUGGUUCUCUCCAUAAUCAGCAAAAAGUGAGGGUGUGUAUGAGAUAAAACAAAUAGCAUGAGUGAUUGAGUCAGAGGAGAAGUUUCUGAUCUUAUUUUUAUUACUAAACCCUGCCUAGAGGACAAAUGUAGUUUUACCGUAAGUGUUUUAGCUGCUGAUACAGGUUCUCAGCCCAUGGGAAACAGUGAGGUUGAAAAGCCUGGCUCUCCAACCUUCCCCUUGCAUAGGCAGCUACCACAUUUUCCUCACCCAGGGUAAUCGUUUGUGUAUUUAAUGUUCAUCCGGGACAGACUCUUAUGCCUUAGGAAUUGCUGUCAGCUGUGUCAGGUGCUUCCUAUAUUUUUGACGGUAUUUAUACUUCACAAAGAAGGACUACAAUGAGCCCUUUCUUGGUCUGGUAUAAAUGAAUGUGAUUAACUUAGGCCCAUUCAUUUCAGUGGGUAUACUGUCUGUAUGGAUUGUUAGGGGAGUGGUAGUACUUCUGGCGGGAGACACACCAUGCUCCUUCUGGGGUAGUUUGUCCAGCUUUGGUCCCCACCCUGCACUCAGCUCUCAUCUGUGGCUCCUAGAAACUGUCAGUGUGUGACAGCGGCCACACACCAGGAAAUGGCUUCAACUGGCCAGAUAGGUCAGUGAGGGUAGCCGAUAGGUCUCACACCCUUGGUGAGUUAGGGACUUCGCCUGCAUGCGAAGAGAGGCUCCAGUAGAUUGAGCGGACAACACCAAUAGUGGGUCCAAUCAUCAAGAAGGCAGUUUCUGCACAUGCUGUGAGGAAGUGAGGGCAGAUGGGGCUCGUCAACCUGAGAAGGUAGCCCAUCUCGGAGAAGGAAAACUCUGACCCUAAACCUCUGCUGCAUUGCAGGAUAUCUUUGGGAGAAGAAAAGGCUAAGGAGUAAACCCUACACAAAUCAGGAUUGGAGUCCCUAAGACAAUUUGUAUGGCACUUUGUACGCCUCUUUUGGCAACUCUUGCAGCCUUGCUGGUGCCAAACAUAUUGCUCUGCUUUCCUUUGCACCACAUCAGUGAAGCCGAGAGGGGGUGUUGUUGUCUGGGCAGCCCAGGACCUCCAUACACACUGCCCAGGCUUGUGUCAUGGGGAGGUCAUUUUGGUGCUGCUAAUGCAGUGGUUUGACUUCACCCCCAAGGGUGCACUCCAUUGUCUCCCAGUGAGUAGAACUUUGCUGGAUAUAACCCAGAGCCUCUGUGCGUGCAAUUCGUAUCUAUGUAGGCUAUAUUCAGAAGUUCUGAUGCAGAAGCUAAGGGCACAAGCUUAGUUUAAAAUGGGUUGGAUGUCCCGAAUGGGACUUGUCUGUGACAUAAGCUAUAAGCUGCUGAUUGUGCUACCUUUACUGGGAAGACAGUAAAUGGCGUUUCCGUGGACCUGGCUUCUGUUACGGUGUUCCAUUACACCAGAAGCAGUUUAGUCAUGCUGGCUACAUGAUCUGGGAAGCUGUUUAUGGACGAAUGCCGGCUCUCUUGGCGUGAAGCAAGAUGAGUGCCGCACCCCAUAGUCACCUUUGACUGGACUUAACCAUCCAGGGGUCCUUUACCUUUACCUUACUUGUGUAUGUGACAGCACCAUCACUAGACUGAACAGGCUCCUCUGAGGGGCUCUAUUUCUGGCCCCUUUCUUACAAUGAACAUCUGUGUACCUGCUAAAUCAGUGCCUGUGUAAGAUCCAGAUCACUGUCUCCAAAUUAACCCAUUUGUUUCAAGAGGAUCAAAAUCUGGCCUGCCCCAGCAUUUAGAUCUUCUCAGCACAGUAAGGGGUCAGUAAGCAAGUGGUCCUCCCACAGCACAACUAUUCUUCCUGGAAAAGCCAGUCUCUUUUCAUUCUGCAUGCCUUUUGAGAACAUUCAGCUGUAUUUCCACAUUUGAUUGGAAAACCCUGCAAAAGGGAUCAGGGCACAAUCCUGACAGGGCUGGCUUUCCUCAGUUCCAUUUGUGGCCUCCUGCAAUUCUCACGCCUACCCCCUGGUUUGGGGUUUGAAGAUUACCGGUGCAGAUUGGAGCCAGGCAGAAAACAGAAAUACAGAAAGCUGCCCCUGGUGAAGUUGCACUUCUAAAAAAAAAAAGGUAGAGGAAGUAUAGCCAAGUGCUGAAUUGUAGCUGACAGUUUAGCAGGGGCCCAGCAGGAAGGGGGUUGCUUUGAAGUCACAAAGCCCAAAAGCCUUUAAAACACUUUCCCUUUUGGGUUGCAUGCUGUGCUGUACCAGUUAAAUACUUUGAAGGUUUGGGGCUUAUAUGUCUGGAUAAGUCCUAAGUCUCCAGUUUGGUGAAGGUCAUUGGUCUUGAGGGACAGUGUAUAUCUAGUCUGAGAGUGAGUUCAUGCAAUCAAUAUGUCUGUGGUUGGUUACCUGGCCGUAGGAGCAGACAUCUGUCAAUUUUUAAAUAUGCUUUCUCUCCAAAUGGGAAUGUGUGGAUAUUCCAUUAAUUUUACUUUACUGGAAGAGAAAGGUUGUUGUAAGUGAGGGCUGCUACCCACCCAUCAUCCACCCCAAAUACAUAAAACAGAGGAGGUACAUUUAAUGGCUGUGUGGAACAUGACUAAAGCUUUUGUUCAGGGGUUAUUCAUUAAUAAAAAUUUCAUUCCUGAUUAAGAAAAGGAAUGAAGAGAGAUUGGCAUUGUUGAAUAUGGCAAGGGAGUUAGAAGUGAAGCACAAAUAAAGGGUUUAGUGAGGAUUAGAAACUGCAAGAAAAAAGAUUAGAACAUUGGACUAUAGAGGGUGGAGAAGGUUUCAAAAUGUACAAAACUAAUGUUUUAAGAAAGAAGUAAACAAGGUAAAUGAAUGAGAAAGAAGAUGGGGGUGGGGAACAGAAUAGCCCCCACCCCCCAUCUGAAGGUCAAGAGACAAGCACUUUAUUUUGAAUGGUUUAGUGGUUGAAUAUUGGAAAUGACUUAUAGUCAGGACUCUUCAGCAUAGUUUUAUCGGGUGAUUUAUAUAACAGGUCUGGAAAUCUAUCAGUCUUCAUUCAUAAGAAUACUGACACUUGUGGUAAAAACAUAAAUCACAUUUUGUAUACUUUUGCAGUACAUUAAAAAAAACACUAAACAUUGUAAGAUACUGCAAUGGUGAAAUUUUCUGGUCUAGUGAAUUUUUCUCAAGAUUAGUACAUUUCAGAUAGUGCAGUGUAUAAUUAGAAGGUGGAAAUACAGUUCUUGCCAUUAAACAAGAACAUGAUGAGCUAUUAGUUGUCCCAGUAACUGAACAAAGAGUAACAAAAGCAAUAUAUAUAUAUAUAUAUAUAUAUAUAUAUAUAUAUAUAUAGGCAACUGAUGGAUUUUGGUUCACACGCGCACACACCCCACACACUGAUUUGAACUGCAAAAAAAUGCAAAGACAAAGGAAAACAAGAAACUUUCUCAUGAACUGCUCCUUGCUGCUCCUCCCCCCCACCUUAGGAUUACCAGCUAAUUAUCUAUUUACACCUGUUUAGGUCUGAGAUACACAUAAAAUGUGGGCAGAGAUGGAGAUUAAGAAUCAGGGAAAUGUCCAGUUUAGUCUGAAUUCUAUCCAAAAUUCAUUCUCCCCAGCUGGCAUACGUUUUGCUAACCAAACCACUACCACUAACUAAAUGCAUAGCCAUAGAAAUCAUUGAUGAAGCACGUCAAGUGCCCCAGCUGGACAUCAGCUACGCACCCCCCCUCCCCGUCAAUACACAAUGAGUUACGGUAUUUAAACUUAAGAAGAACCUAAUCACAGCACACUAUUCAAAAUAUAUAGCCCUGGCAAGAGAACACAAACACAUAGAGCUGUUCUUAGGUCUACAGAAAGCAGUGCUAUAACUGGAAGGGGAGGACUAGCCGGGGUUUUUGCCCCAGGUAAAGCCUCCAGAGGGGCACCAUUGACGCUCCCAGCUUGUGUGUGUGUGUUUGCAGAUGCACAUGAGUGAUGCCAAACUGGGUCUUUGACCCAGGUGAAAGAAAGCCUAGUUUCACCCCUGCAGAAGGGCUUCCCAUAGGCAUCUAGCUGACCACUGUGAGAACAGGAUUCUGGACUAGUGGGGCCAUUGACCUGAUUCAGCAAGCUCCUCUUUAUGUUCUUAAAGGGGAUAUAAGGGGAAAUUUGGUGAUGGGGAACUCAGCACAAACAGAACACCUUGCACAAGCAACAGAGAACCAAGGCUAGCAGCAAAAUAUGAAAUUGGUUGAUUUGAUUUGUUAUAUUUUUAUGCCACUUUUCAUUCAAAUGAAUCCCAAAGUGGCUUACAAACAAUAACUAAUAAUAAUAUGAUAGAACAUAAUAGAACAUCACACACGCAGCAUAAAUCAUAUAAAGUUCUGGAGCUUUUCCUGUGAAAAUGCGCUCUUUACCACUGAAUCAGAGCAAACUGCAGUCCACCUAAACCCCAAAUUGCUGUUUGUUGUACUUUAGCUUUAAAGAGCAAGUUUUCACAGGGAAAGCUCCAAAGCCAAAGAAGAGAGAGAAAGAGAGUGCUCAGACAGGGGGCUUUAAAAUGCCAGUCUAUGCCUGGAAAGUGCAGGGCAAAAGUUAGGUGUAGAUAAGCCAACCGUCUCCAAACUCAGUUCCAUUCCUGUAACUGGAGCUGCAAGGACAUGGCACUAUACACACAGAAGCAGAGCAAGGUUACCAAAUAGGAGACCGUAUUUCAAAGUAUGACUCUAAGAUGCACAAAGAACUCUCAAACAUGGGGGCGGGGAGCAGAGCGGCACCCUGAAAUAUGGGAAAACUGCAUCAGCAGAUUAUAACAAGCCCUCCCACAGACAAAGCAGAAGAUAAGUACAUAGUAUGCAUAAGGAGGCCCUGCUGCCAAAGAAAUCCCUUGGUCUGUGCUUUGUUCCAUCUUUUUUUCCAUUUAUCAAUGCAAGUGUAGGACUCAUACUUACAUAGAAAUAUCAGUAGAUAUUCAUCAAAACGUCCUUUGCCUCUGAGUGUAUGAGUACAUUUUAAAAUCAAGUGGGUGGUCUCAACCAAUAAUAUAGAAAUAAUUAUUUGAUAUCUACACAUUGCACAAUUGAAGUUGAUAUACUUCUAUUCAUUUUAUUAGUUCCUCAUAGGGAAGAAACUUAUUAUUUUUAAUUAAAUCCCUGAAUUGAAUUAUAUCUCUUGCUUCCCAUUCUUUAAAGAUAUUAUGUUCAACAAGAGUGGAUUUAUGCAUAUGCAUUAUGUAUAGCUGAGGCUUUUUCAACAAAGCUUGAUCUUAGUACAUACUUAAAUAUUUAUCCCAAACUUUAAAAAUCUAAUUUAUGAUAACAUGUUUCUUAAUUCCCUGUAAUCUUUCUUUCUUUUUAAUCUGCAAAGGGAUUAAAGUAUGUUGAGGUUUUAAAUCUUCCCAAUUAAAAAAAUUUCUUUUUCCUAAAGGCUGGUUUAAAGAGCAUUAUGUUGAAAAGCAUAACAGCAGCAGCAACAACUCAAUGAACCAGGCAGAGCAGUGCCUCCUUCUUGGAGAUUCCUGCUUUUUCGUUGUUCCAGUCAAAUUUAUCCUAAGUUUUGCCAUUCAUUAACUGAUAUUGUAUAAAUUGAAAGAUUUUGUGUAAAAAGUUAAUUCUUCUAAAGCAGGUACAGUAGUACCUCGGGUUACAUACGCUUCAGGUUAUAUACGCUUUAGGUUACAGACUCCGCUAACCCAGAAAUGGUACCUCGGGUUAAGAACUUUGUUUCAGGAUGAGAACAGAAAUUGUGCUCCGGCGGCGUGGCAGCAGCGGGAGGCCCCAUUAGCUAAAGUGGUGCUUCAGGUUAAGAACAGUUUCAGGUUAAGAACAGAUCUCCAAAACGAAUUAAGUUCUUAACCCGAGGUACCACUGUAUUUUAAUUGCAGAAAUUAUUGCCUUUAUGCUGUCCUAAUAGAACUACCAUGGGCCAUUUAAUUAGGUAGGUUUGAGUCAAAGGUAGAAAAUUAAUUUUAAUAUAGAUCGCCUGGAUCCUAUAGCAGAUUAAUUCUAAAUCUCUCACCAGAGUUUUGACUUGAACUCAGUAAGUCAGGACAUUUGGAUCUGAACAGUUAACCAUUCUUAUUAGGAAGUAAGUCCUUAUUCAAUCAAUAGCAUUUUAAGGGGGGGAUUGCCAGCAGGAUUUUCUGUUUCCAAGUACACUGCAUCUGGAUUGGCCUCUUCCCCACUUGCAAAAGUGGAGACAAAGUUGCAUGUGCUUAGCUUUGUGUCACAUAUAAAUCUACAUGCUUUGCAGUUGGAAUGGAAACUUCAGCAGGUGAAGUUUUACUCAGAAUGGUAUUCCCAUUGAAGAAAAGGCUUUACAGGACAACUCUUGUGCCAAAAUAGCCUCUGUGGGUUUUCUUUUUUGACAGUCCAUGGUGUUUGGAGUCAGAUCCAGAGCUUUAAUUAUAUGUCCUGCUAGAGCAAUGAAAUUUAUCUACAGGAGAGUCAUACUUGAGGAGCAGGGGGACAGGAUCAUGUUGCUGGUUGUGUAUGGCAAGUUCCUAAAUAUUUCUUCCCUCCUGACUGCUGCAGAAUAAGAGAAGGAAACAGAGAUUUGGUUGCUCCUUCCACGCCAGAAAAAAAGAAAAAUGGGAAUGUGUAAAUAUGCACUAUCAAAUAGCUCUUUUCCGGGAGAGAGAGAGUAAAGAAGCAGCACUGGGGAUUUUGAUGUGUUAAAUAAUCAUAAACCCAGCGUCAGAUUAUUUGUCCAGCAAAGCGAUUGCAGAAAAAUUGAAUUCAGAAACAGGCUUUGGGGAAUGUAAUGUUUCUCAGUACAAAUGAAGUGCUUUCCCCAGGAUAAAGUGAGCCAGUUCUUCUAUGACAGCCUUCCCCGUCCUAGUGCCCUUAGGAAGUUUGGAUUACAAAUCCCAUCAGUCCCAGCUGAUCUUUGGGUGGCUGAGGUGGCAACCCAUCUGUGUCACCUCUGUUUUGUGAUGUAAGAGGCAGGCAUUUGUUUGAAACCUUGUGAUUAUGUCAUUCACAGAACCUACCACAAGAAGGCUUGACAAUUAGCCUUUUCUCUGUUCUGUUGGGGGCGGGGGAGCUUUGUCUGCUAUGAAUUUCAUGUAUCAGUGUUUCCACUUAAGAGCUGGCCCUCAGGCAAAAGAGAAUGAAAGUGUUGCUUUAGAUCCCCAGCAAUUGUACCUCUCUUUGUAAAGUAAGAAACCUCUGCUGGCCCAGAGUGGCUGGGGCAACCCAGUCAGAUGGGCGGGGUACAAAUCAGUUGUUGUUGUUGUUGUUAGAAACUUUUCUUUCAGGUAACCAGGGUUUUGCUUCCUGAAAAGUUGACAGCUCCACAUCACAGUCUGCCACCUGCCCAGUUCUUUUUACUUAUUUACCUAAAUGCCCAAGCUUUUAUUAUUGCUUGAUGGCCUAUUCCUUGUAGUGUUGAUUAAAAAUCAAGUUAAAAAAACCCAUAGCAAUCCCAGUCAUACAGUAUCUAUAUUUGUUUCAUAUAUAUCCCCAUCUUUCAUCUGUUAUGAAACCCAAUGUUCCCAUGUAGUCCCCAGGAGGUCACCCAUCCAGGCACUGCCCAGACCUGUUUGGCUUCAGUAACAUGGUGGCCUCAUGUGUCUUUUAUUUGUUUGUUUAUAUUUUAUUUAUUUUUACAUUUAUAUCCUAUCUUUCCCCCAAGGAUCUCAAUGUACAUGGUUCUCCUGUUUCCCAUUUUACCCUCACAACAACCCUAUGAAGUAAGUUAAACUGAGAGACGGUAACUGGCCCAAGCUUCCUGGUUGAACAGGAGUUUGAACUCUUGUCUCCCAGGACGCAAGUCCAUUACCCUAACCGCUGCACCACACUGGCUCUCUUCUGACCAGCACUUCUUCACUGCAAUGACAAAUGCCUUCAUAAUAAGUGUUUGUUAUUGUAACAGUCAGAAAGGAUUUCUACCGAGCUUUCUAAUGUUUAUGCCCAAAUGGGGAGGGUGGAAACAUCAUUAAUAACUGGUUCCCGAGAGCCAAGGUCAGCUAUCCCAAGCCAAGCUGCUAAAGCAGCAGCACCCAUUCCUUGCCCUGCCUUCUCGGCCAUCAUGUAUGAGUUUAAAGCCAAGUCAUAUAGAGCCCUGAGAUCUGACAUGAGCAUUACUAUCAUCUUAGAUUGUGAAUCUUUGACAAGGCUCAGCACCCCAAAUUUAAAGGAGUUUAUUAUAACAGAACCAUGAAAAGACCCAGGACUCUCACCCCAGCUGCCACUCCAGCCUCUGCUGUGUUUUUUACCCAGCCCUUAUGACAUUGCUCUCUAAAGGCCUAAGAAUUCUUAACCACAUGUAAAUAUCAGAAAUCCUGUUACAAGAAAAUUCAGGUUUUAGAAUGGAAAUCUUGUUUGUAUUACUUUGAUUAUAUUUCCCAUAAAUGUAUCUUAUUUUAUACAGUCUGCUUAUACCACCACCCCAUCCCCCUAUCCCCUAUCCCCUGCCCAGGAAUUUAAUAAUAAUGGUUUAGACAUAAUAAACACUGAGAAGCACAGAAACUGGGAGCCAUGGGGAAGGGGUGAUGCAUUUCAAUUUAAUGACCGAAGAAGACAGAAAGCAACAUAGGAAAUGAAAAGGAUCUUUUGGAUGUGUCCUCAGUCACAGCCAGAUCAGGAAGCUGAAAGCGGACUUUACAAAUCCCUUUAAACCUUAUUCUGAUUCUUAAUAUGCUUAGGAAGAAAAUUCAGGCUGUUGCUAAGGAUUGAUUGUUGCGCAAGGCUGAUCCAAAAGAGCAUGAAAUUAUUUGCAUGCUUAAAGUGAAGUUUUAUCCCCACUCUAACUUGGCUUCUCCUGUUGUAUUUUGGUAAGGACUGAAUAAAAGUGGAAGGACAGUUUGAGGACCCGGGUGAAAGGCGGGUAUGGGGAGAUCUCACAAGGUGAGAGGCUGUGAGAAGAGAGGGAUGAACCUGUGUAGGGGAUGAAAGUUAAGAUAUAGUGGUGAAAGAGGAUUUUGUAGUUUCUGCUUCUUCUUUUUUUUAGUUUCUUUCUUUUCUUUGUUUCUUGUAGAUUAGUUUGUUCUUUUAAUUACAUUGUGAAAACUUUAAUAAAAACAUUUCUUCUUCUUCUAUUAUAAUUGUUAAUGCUGUUGUUGUUGUUAGGCUUCUUUGACGGUAGUACCAUCUUCACAUAGUCCAAUCUGAUUGGCUACAUAACAAUGUUGCUAAUCCCAGAAAGAGCAUAUUUUAAAAGGAAUUGUGCUGAAGUUGGACACAAUCAGAUUUCUUUUGUCGGCAGGUCAAGACACACCUGUUUGCCAAAGCUUUUGGAAAAGCAGAGUGAGAUAGUGUUUUAUGCUGAUUAUCCCUUCUCUACUGUAUUGAUGUGAUAUGGCUGUCUAGGACUAGGGGUUGUGUGUCCCAGAAACAGAAAGUGCUGCCCUGCCCUGCCACUGCUGCCAUAACAUUACUCACUCUGCCAUCUCCACCGCUGGCAGGGAAACAGCACUGGCAUUAGUGCCAAUUUCCAGUGAACCCUCUGCAAGGUUUCACAUGAUUUCAGCAAGAUCUUGUGAGAUCUUAGGAGAAAUUGGUGUUGCCUCAGGGGCUUCUGCUGCCUGAAGAGGUAGCUUCACUGCACCUAAUAGGUGGGCCAGCCCUGUCCAGGACCCUCACAAUCUGGAAAGCAGAGGCCAUGGAACAUGUCUGCUUUUGUAGAGGCUAUGCUUUGGAAUCUCUGCAUGACAAUAUGUGGUGGAUAUAUGCAAAGUAUUUCAGCUUCCAGCGCAUAUCACUAGACUGUCUCCAUAUGCCUCUCCAGUGGAAAGCUGACACUUAGCAGUCCUUAUUGUUAUUGUGAUUUUCCUGCAAGCAGACCACUGAAGUGUUGGGAAUUCUUGACUCCCACCUUCACCUUUCCACAUCAUCAUGCAUUCCUCCAUAUCUUGCUAUGGAAAAGACAGACUUUCCCACUUCUGGUUCAUGUAUUGCUUGAGAGUGAGAAUGAAGGAGACCUUAUCAGCCCGUAAUCCCUGCACUGGGCUGCUGCCAAGUUCCCCAACUCCCCAAGGACAUAAUUAUCCCUUCACAUUCUCUUAUUUUACCAAACUCUAUAUCCACUUUAAUCCUAGCACUGAAACUGGCCCAUCACCUGGAGAUGUCGUGAGGUGGUUGGACAGCUAAACAGGCAUGUCAGGUCCUUCCGACUGCAGUGUUUGUCUUGGCUGCUGUUUGAUGUUGACCCAUCAGCCAUCUCUGCCAGGAAGGGAUUGGAAACCUACAGGAUGUUGCUGUGAAGCUAACACCGAAACUACUCCUUGACAGAACUGAUGGAUUUGAUGUUGACUGAGAAUUGGGAGAAGGGAGGAGGAUAAGACUGGAUAAAAAGAAUGGGUGCAACUGAGGAGGUUAAUCUAGCACUGCCUUAAUGGGAACUGGUAAACUCCCCAUCACUAUCUUCAAGCUGUGAUCUCAGGAAGCCUCAGGCGAGUGGGAAAGUUUGUUAGGGAGCAUCCCAGGAACAAAGGGGUAAAAUUAAAAAGUGAAAUGUGAAUAAGGCUGGAGGGGAUUUGUACUAGCAAAAAUGAUAUGAUGCUACUGUAUAUAAUUCAAAGAGAGAGAAGAAUGCAUUUUGGAAAGUACCUCAGUAUCGUUUCUAAACUGGAAAGCGUCCUUAACUCAUUGUUAAUCUGGUGGAUGGGGAAAGUGAAUCACUAUGAUUAUGCCAACAUAGGGAAGGUGUAGGGAACCUUUGGUGCUCCCAAUGUUGCUGCAACUUUCAUCAUCCGUGGCCACUGGCCACAUGCACUGGUUAUCUCCUGCUUGGACUACUGCAAUGUGCUCUAUAUGGAGCUACCUUUGAAGGUGACUCAGAAAUUACAAUUAAUCCAGAAAGCAGCAGCUAGACUGGUGACUGGGAGCAGCCGCCGAGACCAUAUAACACUGGUCUUGAAAGACCUACAUUGUCUCCCAGUAUGUUUCCGAGCACAAUUCAAAGUGCUGAUGCUUUAAAGCCCUAAAUGGCCUCAGUCCUGUAUACCUGAAGGAGCGUCUCCACUCCCAUUGUUCAGCCUGGACACCGAGAUCCAGCAUGAAGGGCCUUCUGGCGGUUCCCACACUGCAAGAAGUGAAGCUACAGGGAAUCAGGCAGAGGGACUUCUCGGUAGUGGCACCCACCCUGUGGAAGGCCCUCCCAUCAGAUGUUAAGGAGAUGAGUAAUUAUAUAACAUUUAGGAAACACCUGAAGGCAGACCAGUAUAGGGAAGCUUUUUUAGGUUUAAUGUUUUACUGUGUUUGUAUACAUGCUAGAAGCCACGCAGCGUGGUUGGGUAACCCAGCCAGAUGGGUGGGGUACAAAUAAUUUAUUAUUAUUUAUUAUUAUUAUUAGGGCUGACAAGAGUUGUAGUUCAGCAACAUAUGGAGGGUCAAAGGUUCCGCACAUCUGACACUGGGAACAGGACUGUGUACAGGAAAAAUAAUAAUAAUACUUGGAUCUGAGAGAGUCACCUCAAAGCCUUCGCUGAAGCAAUUGUCUUUUCCAUUGACAACAAUAGAAAAGAUAAUAAACUACUUAACACUUUUUAUUUUUUUCAGAGUUGAUAAAUUUUCCAGACAUAGUAAGGAGGUGGAUGAAGGAGCGUGAUGAUUGGCCUCCAAUACUUGCAUUUCUCACAAAUUAAAGUAGGGGCCAUUUUUUAAAAUGUACAUGUACUCUAUACGAAAAUCAGAACUGCUUUGUUUGAUCAGACCAUAGCAAAACUGUUAAUUUGAAGUGCUAGUUCACUACCCCUCUCCCAACAGUGCCCAGUCAGCCAAACACGUCUGGAAAGCUCAGAAGCAGAUCAUCAUCUAUUUAUAAACCACUUUCCCACAAAAUUUUGCCAUAAGUGGCUCACAACAUAUCCAAGGAACAAUAAGUUAAACAAUUUUUUUAAAUUAGAAAAAAUAGAAACCAUCAUAAUAUCAAUAAGUAAACAAACAAACAAAACCCAAACCAUAUGACAUUGGAGAAAACAAUACCGAUAAGGUAAUGUAAAUUAACAUCAUAAACUAAUAAAAGAAACAAUAAUAAAAGAGGAUGGUGCAGUGCGAUCACUCCACCACCUCGUCCCUCUCCUUCUUAGUAAGUAUAAGUGACUCAGUGGUCAGAAGGUCAAGAAAUGCCACUGCCCCACCAUGCUAUCCACUACUGGGAUAAAGGGAGCUAAUAAAUAGGUGCCAUGGACACUACUUUCCCUGAGGCCUAACAUUUCUCAGGAGCCUACCUACCUGAUCAGGGGAAUGAGAAUGGAAAAGCUCUAUUUCCUGGCCGAUUCUACUCUCUAGAUGCCCCUUUCUCUCUUUGAAUUACUCUGCCUGCCUUGCUAUCUCUCCUAAUUCUUUUCCUAUGAAUAACUGCAUGGUUCAUACCUGCUUCCAGAUUAUAUAUUAACUGAGCCAGACUUUUCAAGUGCUCUCUCUUUCUGAAUACCAUUCAAAGAGUUUAAAGCCCCACACUGAGUGGCUUUGAAUCCAUCUGUGUCUGGGUGUAAGGUGUUGCCAAGAGCAUUCUUUGCAUCCUUCCACCAUGAAGAAUGACCAUGAUGUCCCAAGAAAGACCCAUGAACACCCUUUAGAGUCUCCACUGCAUACACAACAUUGUUUAGCAUCCCCAUUAAUACCUCUUUGCAUACUAGUGAAGGACAGUAUUCCAAGAGGCCUCUGCCCUAGCAGAUACCUCAUUACAAUCAAUUUUGCAUCUUUCCUCCUCUAGCCUCAACAGGAGUGCUAUUAAACAUAGUGAUGACUGGUGCCCAUUUGAACUGGUGGGGCAUAAAUUAGGGAGGCAAAUGGUAGGUAGAGCCAGAGACAAUGACAGGCAGAGCCAGUGAAUUCUAGUUUUGACCCAAUCCUCUUCCCUAUUGUGCUCUUCAAAGGUAAAACUGAGACUAAGGAAGGGAAGCUGACAGGCAAUACCACCCCACACCCCCCAGACUGUUUGUAAGUAAGAAGGCAGGCAAGCGGAGCAGUGCCCCAUUUGUUCUAACGAAG
rnacentral:lncRNA from 1 species